UGUACAUUCUGGUAGAGCACUGAACUGAGUUUUAACCACAGCAGGUCCCUCUUCCUCUGUAAAAGACAAGACAUAUCCUUGUACAUUCUGGUAGAGCACUGAACUGAGUUUUAACCACAGCAGGUCCCUCUUCCUCUGUAAAAGACAAGACAUAUCCUUGUACAUUCUGGUAGAGCACUGAACUGAGUUUUAACCACAGCAGGUCCCUCUUCCUCUGUAAAAGACAAGACAUAUCCUUGUACAUUCUGGUAGAGCACUGAACUGAGUUUUAACCACAGCAGGUCCCUCUUCCUCUGUAAA
ensembl:lncRNA